rnacentral:rRNA from 1 species
GAUGAACGCUGGCGGCGUGCCUAAUACAUGCAAGUCGAGCGAACAGACGAGGAGCUUGCUCCUCUGACGUUAGCGGCGGACGGGUGAGUAACACGUGGAUAACCUACCUAUAAGACUGGGAUAACUUCGGGAAACCGGAGCUAAUACCGGAUAAUAUAUUGAACCGCAUGGUUCAAUAGUGAAAGACGGUUUUGCUGUCACUUAUAGAUGGAUCCGCGCCGCAUUAGCUAGUUGGUAAGGUAACGGCUUACCAAGGCAACGAUGCGUAGCCGACCUGAGAGGGUGAUCGGCCACACUGGAACUGAGACACGGUCCAGACUCCUACGGGAGGCAGCAGUAGGGAAUCUUCCGCAAAGGGCGAAAGCCUGACGGAGCAACGCCGCGUGAGUGAUGAAGGUCUUCGGAUCGUAAAACUCUGUUACUAGGGAAGAACAAAUGUGUAAGUAACUAUGCACGUCUUGACGGUACCUAAUCAGAAAGCCACGGCUAACUACGUG